AUUGAACGCUGGCGGCAGGCCUAACACAUGCAAGUCGAACGAGUGGCGGACGGGUGAGUAAUGUCUGGGAAACUGCCCGAUGGAGGGGGAUAACUACUGGAAACGGUAGCUAAUACCGCAUACCAUCGGAUGUGCCCAGAUGGGAUGAGCUAGUCGGUGGGGUAACGGCUCACCUAGGCGACGAUCCCUAGCUGGUCUGAGAGGAUGACCAGCCACACUGGAACUGAGACGCGGUCCAGCCUCCUACGGGAGGCAGCAGUGGGGAAUAUUGAACAAUGGGCGCAAGCCUGAUGCAGCCAUGCCGCGUGUAUGAAGAAGGCCUUCGGGUUGUAAAGUACUUUCAGCGAGGAGGCGUUACUCGCAGAAGAAGCACCGGCUAACUCCGUGCCAGCAGCCGCGGUAAUAC
rnacentral:rRNA from 1 species